GAAUUGGAAGACUCAAGUCACAAAAACUAUGUCGACCAUGAUCCAUUUGAAUAUGUGUACUCAAACCUACCAGCCAACACAUACAUCUUGAAGCACACCACGAAUUGCGACCACUGCAAGGCCAAGAAGUUUGUCAGUGAGGCCCCGGGAUUCUGUUGUUGCAGUGGGUAGAUCGAGCUGAAGCAACCGGAGCCCAUCCCGGAUCUCAUGAGGCUUUGGUCUAGCACUGAUGCAGACUCUAGGAAUUUUCGGGAGAACAUACGGUUCUUCAACGGACACUUCUCCUUCACAACCCUCGGCGCCAGCCUCGAUGAAACAUACACAAACAUGAAGACUGGGGUGUACACAUUCCGGGCGCACGGCACCAUCUACCAUGACGUUCAUUCCUUCGGGCCAACAUCCCUUCCAGAUCAUCUACAGUUGUACUUCUACGACGAUGACCCAGCCUAA
rnacentral:rRNA from 1 species